CGUGGUAAUUCCAGCUCCAACAGCAUAUCUUAAAGUUGCUGCAGUUAAAAAGCUCGUAGUUGGAUCUCGGGAUCGAGCUGCUGACGUCCCGCCGCGACGC